GACGAACGCUGGCGGCGUGCUUAACACAUGCAAGUCGAACGAAGUGGCGAACGGGUGAGUAACGCGUAAUAAACCUGCCCUUCAGAGGGGGACAACAGUUGGAAACGACUGCUAAAACCGCAUACUGAAGGAGGGGAUGGCGUCUGAUUAGCUAGUUGGAGGGGUAACGGCCCACAAAGGCGAUGAUCAGUAGCCGGUCUGAGAGGAUGAACGGCCACACUGGGACUGAGACACGGCCCAGACUCCUACGGGAGGCAGCAGUGGGGAAUAUUGCACAAUGGGCGCAAGCCUGAUGCAGCCAUGCCGCGUGAAUGAAGAAGGUUUUCGGAUCGUAAAGCUCUGUUGUUAGAGAAGCGGUAUCUAACCAGAAAGCCACGGCUAACUACGUGCCAGCAGCCGCGGUAAUUC
rnacentral:rRNA from 1 species